rnacentral:rRNA from 1 species
UUCUUUCUUGCAUUCGCUCCAGGAUGGGACUGCGGCCGAUCAGGCUGUUGGCGGUGUAAUGGACCACCAAACCUGUAACCGGUACGGGCCUUGAGAGAGGGGGCCCGGAGAUGGACACUGAGAGAAGGGUCCAGGUCCUACGGGGCGCAGCAGGCGCGAAACCUUCGCAAUGCGCGAAAGCGUGACGAGGUUAAUCCGAGUGGUCCCCGCUGAGGGGAUCUUUUGUUGGCUGUAAAAAGGCCGAUGAAUAAGGGGAGGGCAAGUCUGGUGUCAGCCGCCGCGGUAAUACCAGCUCCUCGAGUGGUCGGGGCGAUUAUUGGGCCUAAAGCAUCCGUAGCCGGUUCUGUAGGUCCUCUGUCAAAUCCAACGGCUUAACCGUUGGCCCGCAGAGGAUACCGCAGGACUAGGAGGCGGGAGAGGUGGACGGUACUCGACGUGUAGGGGUAAAAUCCUUUGAUCCGUCGAAGA